GUGACUGUUCUUCUCGUUUCUGAUUUCGUCAAAGGAAAAUUGUGGGGAAAACUGGAAGUGUUCGGCAGGCCGCGUUUCAUUGAAAUCGAAGCGUGACUUUGGAGCGGGUGCUGCUUCACAUGCUGAUAAAUAUAAACAAUUAUUGUGCUGAUAAUUGACGUGCUCCGCUCUCCCAUGGCAUAACAAUAGUUCUUUUCAACAACACAGAGUGAUCAAGUGCGGGGGAGGCGGUAAGACAAAACGAGCGAACGACGCCAAAAGAUUAUGCAGAUACCCCCUGAAUUAACCCAUCGAAGGGGCGCCAUAAAAUGGCACGAGACAGCGAGAAAGAGAGAUGAACUGAGGCCGGAAAACUCGGAGGAAACCGUCGCAAAACCGUGGAUCCAUAUCGCAUCGCUCAGAGGCAGAGGGGCGGGGGUUAUCGCUUAGAUUAGAUUGUCCUAUGGCAAAUUAGCUUACUUCGUACAUGGCGCGUAUACCAGUGUAUAUGCCACAACGCACACAAACACGCACAUAUGAUAUAGAUACUGUAUUAUUAACUGUAGGGACAUAAGUUUGAUUACUCUUUAUAUACCCGUAUAUAUACAUAAUUGUGAUUUAAGCGAUUUUAUCAAAUCUGCAUUAUGCGAUUCUUUAUAAAAUUCGUCGUAGUCAGUAAGUGCAAACGAACCCUAAACAGAGAACAUGCAAUACUUGUUGUAAAUUACCAAAAAACAAAACACAAAAAAAUCAAAACAAAAAAGCGAAGGCGAUAAUUAUAGCAAGUCGAAAUGAGUGUAACAAGUGCCAUUAGGACUAGAGCUAGCAGCAGCAAGCGACACACCAGCAACAGCAAAAUUAUCUCCACAAUUUAUCAUUUCCCAUAGAAUACAGAUAUAUCAAUGCAACAGAUAACUAAUUAGACAAGCUAGCCCCCGGAGCUUGUAUAUUAGCUGAUAUUCGCAGUGUUGACGGGAUUGAGGGAAAAAUCUUUGAUAUUCCAUUUUAAUUAGUACAAACUUAAGACUAACCGAAAACGCCACAAAAGAACAGAUUUACAUAGACUUCCUUGUUCCUUCCCCGAGACAUUUGCCAUACGCACAAAGAAAAUUGUAAUUCUAUACAGAACCCUAUCAUAGUAGAGAUGUUAUUUAACGCGGUAAUGUGUGUGUCAAAGCUAAAGUGAAAUAUUGAAACAAAGAAAUAUCCCUAAAGGGAGUAUAUGCAUAUAGAAGUGGUAUACGUACACUAAACCUAGUCCCAACGGGAAUUAUAAGCAAUGUCAAUUGCUGAACGAGAUAUCUUGAAGAGACAGUAAUCAACACCCUAUCCAUUAUAGGGUUUUUCUUUUUCACCACCUUUUCAUUUAAAUAUUGAGUGCUAUUUCCACCACAAGAUUUAUUCAAAAAGUAUAUAGUUAGUCGGUAGACUUUUCACAGAUAUUUUACCGAAACACAACGAAGGCGGAACAAAAAAGGGUACAUUCGAGGUUAUUCUGCCAGCCGGUGUUAGCUUUCUUAAACUGUUAUAUAUACCAAUACCGAUAGGGAUUAUCUUUUACUUGCAAUUCUGAUAUUAGUAGACAAUGGAUUGCUGCUGCUGCAGAUCGGUUCAUAGUUAAAUUUUAUAUACGAAACGAAAUCCCAAUAUUUGGCCUAUAAUUAUGCAUUCAUAAUUUUUAAAGAGCUUAACUUAACUAUUAAUCGAAAAUUUAUUUGAUUUUCUUAGUUUAGCUUAAAUGAGUAUUAGGAAGGCAACGAACGGAGAGUAUUUAGGGGCAGUAGAAAUGGGUUUAGAUGACCUUUUUGGAAUCCGAGACAUACCCGACAUUACAUAUUCGCAAACGCAUUUAAGACGAACGCAAAUAUUGCAAUUAAUAACGUAAUUGUAAAUGAAACAUAAGUCUUCAAACCAAACAAAGAACAACAAAAGGUAGCAUAAUUUUUUAUACGCAACUUUUAUUGCAAUUGUAAAUGGACGAAUAGGAGAAAGAAGAAGCUGACAUCAAUUUUGAUCGAUUCGUAAUUAUAUUAUUAUAUACACUAAAAGAAUUGGCUCUAUUUCAAUUAAACUUAAACGUAGUUAAAAUACAAAAUGCAUAUUAAUGUGCAAGGUCAAGACCCGACUUGCCAAAAUAAACAUAAACAGUAUGAUAAAAAAAACGAAGAUCUAGAUAUUUAGAGAAGCGGAAAAACAGUAACGAUACAAUAGCGCUUUAACGAUCGCUUAAAUGCAAUGAGUAAAUCCCACAAUAAGUUUUAUGUUUUAUGUGCGCACGUUUAGUUUGCUUGGAACCUAAGUCGUAUUCGUAUGUUCUACCAUUAUUUAGAUUUAUUUUGCAAUUUAGUCCCCAUCCACUUCGAUCUUUGAAGUUGGCCCCUCACAAUUGUAUGUAUUUAGUUUACCUUGCACUGUAAUUUUUAUUUUGUGUUGUUAAAUAUAUCGUUAUUUACUUA